ensembl:lncRNA
UUCACCUCAGACAUAUUUUGGAGCACCCUAAGAAGCUAUAAAAUAACUGCAGCACUUAAACUCAUACCAGCUGCUGUCAGGACACAGAGGGAUAACUUAAUGUGUUGGAACUAUUUUUCACACUAGGAAGAGAAAAGGCUUCAUGGAGCAUAUCAAGAUGUCACAAAAGCUUUGCAGUCACUAAGAAGCUUUGUAAUUGCUAGCUGAACAUUUUCUACAGUUGAAAGCGAAGAGUGCCAUAAUGAAAGCAGAUACCUUGCAGGAUGACACAUGGUGUGUACGUGCACGAGGACGAGAGGAAAACAGCAGCAGACAGAGUUCAUUACUGAACAGCGGGACUGACUGGACGUUUGAGGGAAAGGAAGGCCAAGGGCCACCACGGGAGCCGUCUGAAAGCAGCGAAGGGGAAACGCCAGCAGAUGGCACUCGGAUCUGCAUCACGGCCCCGGAGCUUGCAGGGUCCCUGAAAUGCGGAGCGUUGCAAGCAGCUGUCAGCGGAGGGCAGAGAACCCAGCAAACAGACAGAUUGGGGGACUGGAAGACUUCAUGGUGUCUGAGGUGCUGUGCCACAGCUUACAAGGCAGCCGGGCCGCAGAAGACCAAGAGAAAUGCAGGUGUCGUCUAGACAGAUGGUCCAGCUACAGUGAUCUGCUCGCUGGCACACAACAAGGGUAGAUACAUUUUUCCAUUGCAACUUAGGUAUCUCUCACUCCCCAGCCACUUCCCACGUCACCCCAUAACCUGCCUCAAAACCAUGGGGGAAAAUCAGGAGUCUAGCUUCAUAACAGAUUUUAAACAAGAGUAUAUCAGAGCAGGCUAAAGAAGGCAGCCCAAUUACCUCUCAACAGCAGCUUGGAAAGAAGUCACAAGGCAGGGCAAUACCAAACUUUGUUUCAAAAAUUAAAGGGCUCCCUCCAGUCUAAACCUCACAUCCACAGAAGCCAGUGGUGGCCCACCGUGACAAAGACCUGUAACCACUGAGAGAGAUGUGUACCCUUCUGAGCAAGAAGCUACCCUGUAUGCAUAAAUCACUGUGUGCCGGUACUGUUAGUAUUUGCCUAAACUUUGUUCCCUCCUUACUGCCUGUAGAGUUCACAAAACCGGUCAGGAAAUAUAAGGAAACAGACUGUCAAAACCAAGUUACUCAGUGCCUUCUAAAACAUACAUACUGUUUCUAUAAGUAAACAUAACCCCCACAAUAACUAGCCAUUAAUCCUUAAUAACACUUUUCUAAAAAAAAAAUAAUAUAUAUAUAUUAAAAAAAUCCAUAUCUCUGUUCCCUGGCAGGGAAUAUUAGAGCUCCUCACAGCUAGAAAGACUGAACAUUUCCUUUUCCAGUGCAGAUGCUCUUGGCAUUACUGGGCUGAAUGAAGAACUUCUUUACAGCUGGAUCAAAAAGAUCCACGAAUAUUCAGGCAGUAAGGAAUUUGGGCAGAUGUCCAAGAAGUGACAGGACCACCCAGCUGCAGAAUCUAAGUCUCUCCCAGCUUUUUGUGCUGAAAACCCAACUAUUCAGACUGCUUUGUGCUCUAAUGUGGGCACAUUAAAGACUAUGGAACAAAACAAAACAAAAAAUCCUGCUCGUUGAUAAAAACCAUUAUUUUAGCGUUUUUCCUCCUCACGCAGCCAGUUCCAAUGCUGCUCCUCACAGAACUGCACAGGGUAUUGCUCAGCAGCUGCUGCUUGACCUAUCCUUUUCGGUGAGAACUUGUUUUUGCUCUGCUCUUCCCCUCCUGGUGAGUAAUAACGUAUGGUGACAGAGCUGAUCAGGAGUUAUUUUCUGAAAGGAUCAGGUCACAGACAGCAUUUGGGUUUUAUGCCAAAGCACCGAUCAGAGCUGGGAAAGCAGGUACGACAGCUGCAGAUCCAGGGACUGGUGUGGGAGGGAAGCAGAAGAGGAGGGGCAUGAAGAAGCUGAGCUGCAGUGGCUCUGCCUCUGCUCCAAGCUUCCAGAGCAGCCUCAUCCUCAGCCCUUCUGGCACAGACUUUUUCUCUGCCACAUAAGCUUCUCCAGCACCAACUGCCAAACCUGUAGCUGCAAUUCCUCAGCUGCCUUUUUUGCCAGUUCCUGGAAUAAUCUGCACCAGGAUCAGACAGAGCUUGGAAGAAUCAUCUGGAGAAAAUUGUUCACAAAAGACAAAGCACUGGAAACCCCAAGCAUUCAGACUGGCCACCACUAACAAACGUAGACCUGCCCGAUAGCAGUCAGGGCUACAGCGACUGCUCCCUGC